GUGCUCCCCUCAGCAGCACAGGUACUAAAAUUGGAACAACACACACAAGGUUAACAUUCCCUUCCAUAAGUAUGAUGUGCAAAUUUGUGAAGUGGUCCAUAUAUAU